CCUACGGGAGGCAGCAGUGAGGAAUAUUGGUCAAUGGGCGCGAGCCUGAACCAGCAAAGUAGCGUGAAGGAUGACUGCCCUACGGGUUGUAAACUUCUUUUAUAAAGGAAUAAAGUGAGGCACGUGUGCCUUUUUGUAUGUACUUUAUGAAUAAGGAUCGGCUAACUACGUGCCAGCAGCCGCGGUAAUACGGAGGAUCCGAGCGGUAUCCGGAUUUAUUGUGUUUAAAGGGAGCGUAGAUGGGUUGUUAAGUCAGUUGUGAAAGUUUGCGGCUCAACCGUAAAAUUUCAAUUGAUACUGGCAGUCUUGAGUACAGUUGGGGUAGGCGGAAUUCGUGGUGUAGCGGUGAAAUGCUUAGAUAUCACGAAGAACUCCGAUUGCGAAGGCAGCUUACUAAACUGCCACUGACAUUGAUGCUCGAAAGUGUGGGUAUCAAACAGGAUUAGAUACCCUAGUAGUC
rnacentral:rRNA from 1 species